UUCCAGACUCCUACGGGAGGCAGCAGUGAGGAAUAUUGGUCAAUGGGCGCAAGCCUGAACCAGCCAAGUCGCGUGAGGGAUGACGGUCCUAUGGAUUGUAAACCUCUUUUGUCGGGGAGCAAGGCCCGCCACGUGUGGCGGGAAGGAGAGUACCCGAAGAAAAAGCAUCGGCUAACUCCGUGCCAGCAGCCGCGGUAAUACGGAGGAUGCGAGCGUUAUCCGGAUUUAUUGGGUUUAAAGGGUGCGCAGGCGGAAUGUCAAGUCAGCGGUAAAAUUUCGGGGCUCAACCCCGUCGUGCCGUUGAAACUGGCGUUCUUGAGUGAGCGAGAAGUAUGCGGAAUGCGUGGUGUAGCGGUGAAAUGCAUAGAUAUCACGCAGAACUCCGAUUGCGAAGGCAGCAUACCGGCGCUCAACUGACGCUCAUGCACGGAAGCGUGGGUAUCGGACAGGAUUAGAUACCCGGGUACU
rnacentral:rRNA from 1 species